GAUCCUGGCUCAGGAUGAACGCUAGCGACAGGCUUAACACAUGCAAGUCGAGGGGCAGCAUGAUAAGUAGCAAUACUUAUUGAUGGCGACCGGCGCACGGGUGAGUAACGCGUAUGCAACUUACCUAUCAGAGGGGGAUAGCCCGGCGAAAGUCGGAUUAAUACUCCAUAAAACAGGGGUUCCGCAUGGGACUAUUUGUUAAAGGUUCAUCGCUGAUAGAUAGGCAUGCGUU
rnacentral:rRNA from 1 species